rnacentral:rRNA from 1 species
AUGAGGAGGAUGAGCAGCUCCGCAGUCCAGUCGCGGACCGGCGCAUCCAAGGGCGUGGCCGGCGCGAGCGCUGGUCUACGGAGCUCUAUACUCGGAAGCUUCGGCUUUGCAAUCAUCGAUAUCUCUUAUGAGGAAAACAGUUUGCGCGUGGUUGAUCGACGCCUUCCGGAAUUACUGCAAGCUUCCAACAGUUGCCGAGUAACGAUAUUGAACACCUCCGUCAAAGUGGCCCAACCGUUAAGCAUCGACCAUGUCGGCCUGAACCUCAUCUUGUACAACUGCAUGGCGGUUGCUUACGACGCGACCGGGAACUAUGGCGGCUACGCUUUGGAGGGCUGCAACGCUGUGGUCACGCCGGUGCUUGGCUCAUCGUCGGGCCAGACGAACGCGUCCGACUACAAGCAGCUCAUCAACGAUGGCUUUCUCUUGACAUGGGAUCCGCUCCCUCUCGCAGAACCUGUACACAUUAGUUCAAGCGUGCAAGCACAAGCAGCCUGCGAGCCUGAGCGAUGCGGCAACCUGACCGUUUCUUCCCCAUUUGGCAUCGCCUUGGGAUCGGAGGAGAACAGGUGCGCCCAACUUGGGUUCCAGCUAGCACAGGGCCCAUGGCUCUCCCGAAUGGGCCUGCUCCUCAGUUUCCUGAACGAGCCUCUCCCGAGUCCUGAUCGACACAACCCUGGUGAUCGAUCGAUCUAUCGAUCUUCCCGAGACGACGCCGUCGCCGCACGGAGACGGAGGCUAGCGGCGUUAUUUCCUUUGAUCGCUUCGUUUCCUGCCCGGAGGCACAACCCAUAG